rnacentral:lncRNA from 1 species
GUUCCCUGAAUGCAGGUCCUUGCUCACAAAGCCCAGUCCACUUCCAACUCUGCCUCCAAAGGUACUUUGAAGAAAGGUCUUUCUGUCUCCUUACAGCAGAAAAUCAAUACUGCACGCUGGAGGGGAAGAUGGAGAGUUCAAACGCCCUCUUCACAUGGGUGCUCACCCGUGUUGUUUGCAUCUUAUUCGGUGUGAAAUCGCUGGUCCCAGAUUGCCACCCCCGUGGAGCUCCUCAAGGGCACCACGCUGACAACCCUUCUGCCAUCAUUCGUUUCAGGUGCUGUUGUGAACAAAAGGCCCAGGGCUUCCAAGAAUGCUCAGAAUCUCAGAGGGAAGCUUGCUUUUCAACACUGAGAGACUGACUGGACCCAGAAAGUCAAAGGGAAGUGGGUGACCCUGGCUCGGGGUGCUGGGCACCUGCUCCCAGGUUACGCUGUUUCUUUUGUAGAUAAUGAGAAUGCACCCACUCAGUUUGACUCCGAGGUGGAGAAGGAUCUAAAGGAGACUCCGGGGUUAAAGAGCUGGGACAAAUCCAGUUGUUGUUAAGUCACUUAAGUCACAGAGAAUGGGAUUUCAGACCUUCUGCAUUGUUUUGCCUUAAUCUGGACUUCAAUAUCAGAUAGAUACAUUUAUCUUUAGAACCUACUCCCAGCCUUGCUUUUGCUGUCUUCUUUGCUAGAUUUGGUCAAUUUUAGAGAUUCUCAUCAGUUAAACAUAAUUUGAAAUUGUGUCUCUUCCUAUGCUGUUAUUCACACAUCCUAUUGUUCAGUUGUAGAAGUACUUUGUGUUUCUUUAACUUUAUAAACUACAUAUACAGAGUUAGAGAGUCACAAAGGAAGAGGAUUCCGCUAGAGAGCGUUCUUAGGCUUUAGCAUUAUCUCUCUCAAGUGCAUGAACUUUGGUGAUGGAGCUUUAGUUGCUAUGGAGCUGCUUUUAACCAUAGAUUAUAGAAACACCACUGGAAACACCUACCACUAAAGAAACGAUAAAUGUCCUUAUGGUUCAAGUGCCUCUUAGUCGGGUUUAUUAUGUCAAAGUGCUGCAUCUGGCAUCUCUGCAAUUCUCUUGAAGAGAGACCUUUUCCAUAGGGUCACAAAAUGGCUGCUAUAGCUACAGCCAUCUCACAUGGCUAAGAAUCUAAGGCUGGAAACAGGUGGGUAGUCAGGGCAAUUUAGAGAGCACUGUCCUUGAAUACUUCUCUCAUUUUAUCAAUGAGGAAAAAUCCUUCCCAGAAAUUCCCCCACCCCCAAUACCCUUCCUUUACCAUCUCACUGGCCUGAACCAGAUUUAGUUUCCAGGGAGGCUGGGAAAGUGGCUAAUUUUAUCAGACUUUAUGUGGUAGGCAGACAAUGGAGAAGGUAUUUAGGCAUAGUUGGGACAGUCGCUGUUCCUGAAAACCUCACAUUACCAAAUGAGACCUUGGAGGGGAACAUUCUCUAGAGCAGCUAUAUUUAAACCUUUAUCAGAGCCUCAUGACUCUGUAAUAAUCUAGAAGUGUAUAUCAAAUCAAGCAGCAUCCUGCGUAAUUCAAAUGGUGACUAGGAGAAAACCCUUCCUAUAAGGAAAUAAUUCAAAAAGAAAACCAGAGAAUGGGAUACAGGAGAAGAUUCAGAAGUGCUUGAUGUUGCCAACCAAAUGGUAUCAUAGGCCUUUCAUCAUCCAGGAGAUCACUUACUAAUAAACCAACAGUGGAAGCCGGAGCA